rnacentral:lncRNA from 1 species
CUUUUAUUUCUUUCUAUUGUCUGAUUGCUCUGACCAGGAGUUCCAAUACCAUGCUGAAUAGGAGUGGUGAGACAGGACAUUGUUAUCUUGUGCCUGUUUUCAAGCAGAAUACUUCCAGAUUUUGCCUAUUCAAUAUUAUGUUGGCUGUGGUUUUCUCAUAGAUGGCUCUUAUUUUGAAGUAUGUUCCUUCAUUGUCUAGUUUAUUGAGGGCUUUUGACAUGGAGAGAUGUUCAAUUUUAUCAAAAGCCUUUUCUGCCUCUAUUUAGAUUAUCAUGUGGUUUUUGUCUUUUGUUCUGUUUAUGUGAUGAAUCACAUUUAUUGAUUUGCCUAUGUUGAACCAACUUUGCUUCCCAGGGAUGAAGCCUACUUUAUCAUGGAGAAUUAGCUCCCUGUAUAUACACCAUUGAUGUGCCGCUGGAUUUGUUUUGCAAGUAUUUUGUUGAGGAUUUUUACAUCAACGUUCAUCAAGGAUAUUCGGCCAAACUGUUUUUUAUAUGUGUCCUGCUUCUUCUCACUGGGUGGGACCCCACAGCCUGGGACUCCAGCCAACCCCAACCAGGGCUCUCAGGCUGGUAGCAACUCGGCACUUCCCUAGGAUGCAGUGUGAAGAAGGAGAGUCCGGCCACCAGUUUUUGCUGCCUUGCAGUCUCUGCUGCUAUAGCCUUCAGGCUCUGGAGAGCAAGUGGUGAUUAGGGAGUGGCAUGGAUCCCCCACACAGCGCAACUGACCCAAGAUCCUGCUGCUAUUGCCUUCUGG